UACGUAGGGUGCGAGCGUUGUCCGGAAUUAUUGGGCGUAAAGGGCUCGUAGGCGGUUUGUCACGUCAGGAGUGAAAACUCGGGGCUUAACCCCGAGCCUGCUUCUGAUACGGGCAGACUAGAGGUAUGCAGGGGAGAACGGAAUUCCUGGUGUAGCGGUGAAAUGCGCAGAUAUCAGGAGGAACACCGGUGGCGAAGGCGGCAUCCUGGACCAUGACUGACGCUGAGUGAGCGAAAGCCAGGGGAGCAAACGGG
rnacentral:rRNA from 1 species